GGUAAUAUACUUUAUAUAGAAGAUUUGGUUUGCAUCUAAAAAGAAGGGCAAAGGUCCUUAUUACCA
rnacentral:tRNA from 1 species